UCUCUCAGCUCAGUAUGCUUGGGCUUUUGUUGGCUUAUCAGUCACAGAAGUGAUCACUGCAAGCAUAACAGUUGUUAUAGGAACAACCUUGAAUUACUUUUUAGACAAUAGAAUUAAUAGAGCGGAGAUCCUUUUCCCUGGUGUGGCUGCUUCUUGGUUGCAGUUUGCCUUGCUUCUACUGUCCACUCAUCUAAUGCAGCUGAUAAUAAAGAAAAGCUUGAAGGUUUUUAAUCUAAAGAAGGUUUUAUUGUAGAAAUUGGGCUAAACCUUAUAUUAAAGAUGCUAAACAAGUUUCCAGGUGCAUUUUUAUUUUAUUGUUUUUCUUUAUGAUUUUGUUGUAUAAGAAGUCAAAGUGUGAUUCUGUUUUUAUUCUUUAAUUUUUUUGGGGAUAUAUUGAUAGAAUUUAGAGUUCUGGAAUCAAUUCUUCCUCACAUACUUUUUGAUCAUUGAGAAUGAUAUAUUUUUUAUCUUGAUACAUUUCACAAACCUUGUUUUAAGUUGCAUGUUUUGUUGCUUCAGUCGUUGUUUUGCAUGGUAGUACAUCUUGCUAUAUGAUAACUCUAGGAUUUAGAGUUAUUUUCACAUCUUUAAACUUAAUUUUUGAACCAAACAAAAGAGUAAUGAGUUUUUAUUUCUUGUAAUUGUGUUCAAUUUAGUGUGUCUGUGUAGCUAGGGACCUUGUGUUUGCAUUGUCAUAUUUUUCAGUGUUUUUAUGUAAAUUUCUGUGUUGUAUUAAUCAGGAAAGGAAACUUGCAAAAUUUGAGAAAGGGAACUUUGGAAUCAAAAAGGGAGCAACGAAUUCUGAAAGGGGCUUGAUGCUGCUUCAAUGCUGUAGCAUCACCGUAGCAUCGGGCAGAGCCAGGAAGGAAACGUGACAACUGCGAGCUGGACUUAAUGAGGCAUAAGUGGCACUGAGGUGGCGAGAGUAUUGUACAAUUAAGUCAGCUAGGUGAUGUGGCACGUGGAGGACAAGGUGGGAAUUGACUUGCUAAUUAGGGUACUAUACCCUGCUGUUUCGUCAAGUUUUGGAGUUAUUACAAAUUUAAUUUAAACUUUAUAUGCUUACAGGUGGAAACUAGCUUAAGUCUUAUGUUCUUAAUAAUAAAAGGACUUUUUUUUUACAAUGUGCAGGUAUAUUGAGAUGAUUUCUUUGGAGCAAUUCUUGACAACAUUUGUAGUUGAGGCCUUUAGAAUGGAAGAAUGUAUUUCACUAAUUUUUGUAUACAUUUCUUGUUUUGUAUUUAGUGAUAAAGGAAUCUGAAUUGGGCAUAAAUUAUGUUGUAAUAUGAUUUCUUAAGCCUAGACUAGUAGACUAAAUAUUAUAAUUACAUUUGAGUAAUUAAUAAAAAUCUAUUUAUGUUA